AGGGAAGCUGUCUCUGGGCAGGUGACAUUUCAGCUGUACCUGACGGACUUCCCUGGUGGUGCAGUGGCUAAGAACCUGCCUGCCGAUGCAGGCGGCAUGGGUUCCACCCCUGGCCCAGGAAGGUCGCCCAUGCACCACAACUGUUGAGCCUGCAAGCCUGGAGCCUGUGCUGCAACAAGAGAAGAAGCCACCGCCGUGAGCAGCCCACACACCGCAAUGAAGAGUAGCCCCUGCUCACUGCAACAGUGAAGGCCCAGGCCAGCCAAAGAUAAAUGAACUCGACCUGAAGAGCUGGGAGAGCAAGAGGAAAGGCAUUUAAGAAACUGCUGUGUUAGUCGCUUAGUCUCGAACACGACUGAGCGACUUUCACUUUCCUGGAUUCUAACUUUUCAUUUAAGGAACAUCAGUGAUGUACUCACUGCCGUCAAAGCAAGGAAGGGGCUGGCUCUGCAGGAGAGACGACCUGUAGACCCAAUUCUGGAAUGCUUGGGAAUGCCAAAGCUGGAAGCUGAAUUCCAGGGCAGGUGGAAAUUGUAAUUUCUCUCAUAUCAAGACAAAGUUGCCACACAUGCCACCUUGACUUAGAAGUCCAAAUAAAGAAAAUGAUAUCCAAC
ensembl:lncRNA